GCAAAGGAGGACACCAGCUCCAUGCAGACAGCAACCCAGAGGUCCCAACAGUCCUUCCGUCCUCACAUCACGUCGGCAGACCGAGGCCUCUACUGUGGAGUCUUCGUGGGGGCCUGGGCACCUUUGGGAUCAGGAGCCUGAGCCCAUUUGGGAGCCCUCAG